GCCAUUUGGAGCACGUCAGCUCCUCCUCCCCGUACAGGUGUGCAGCUGGGAUAACCGAUGAUUAAUGCAUGUGUCUGGCCGGGCCUUCAGGGUAAUUUGAUUUGCUUGAUAUCCAGAGUGAUCACCCCUCUUUCCUUCCUCCCCACCUUCUUUUUUUUUUUUUUCCCCCCCUGAGUUUGUGGCAGUGUUUACCUUAGUUGGUGUUUUCAGUUGAUGAAUGACACUUGUUUCUGGCCUCCGUUUCCGCCCAAGUUGUAAUUAGAUUUUGCACGAGGCUCCUGUGAUUACGGACCUGGGCCUUCCUCCCCCAUCGGACCUCUCAAAAGUUACUCGGCUUUCCGAACUUUCCCCAGUUUUCCUUCCUGUCGUCCUCACCAGCAAACCCGGGUGCCGAUGGGCCGGCAGGAGGCCCCCGUCACCUCCGGGGGUUUAGGGUUUGUGCUGGCAAAAGCCACAUCCUGCUCCUGAUGGAAUCCAUUAGGCUGGAGGGACGAAUGGCUUCCCAGAGAGAUGCGCUGAUCUGCCGGGAGGGGAGCCGUGCUCUGCCCCAGAGCUCUGCGGAGGAGGAAGCAGCCUGGGUGCCUUGGAGCUGAAAGAAUGCCCACGCAGCCGAGACAGCACCGCCAGUGAAUUCACGGUCCGGGAAACCGAUGAACUGCACCGACCCAGAAAACUCGCAAGGAAGAGAUUCGGAAGUGGAAGAGGGAGAAACAUUGGUCCUUAAGAAACUGCUAAGAGUUGGGGCGCCUGGGUGGCGCAGUCGGUUAAGCGUCCGACUUCAGCCAGGUCACGAUCUCGCGGUCCCGCGGUCCGUGAGUUCGAGCCCCGCGUCAGGCUCUGGGCUGACGGCUCAGAGCCUGGAGCCUGCUUCAGAGUCUAUCUGUCUCUCUCUCUCUGCCCCUCCCCUGUUCAUGCUCUGUCUCUCUCUGUCCCAAAAAUAAAUAAACGUUGAAAAAAAAAAAAGAAACUGCUAAGAGGCCCCGGCGGCAUCGUCUAGAAACACCUUUACGGUCUCCCCGUGGACUUACUAAAAACCGCGCUGGGUUGGUGAGGACACAGCUGACGGGGGGUGUGGCCCUUGCCUACCCCGGCAGAGCUUGAAACCCUGUUGGGGACAAUAGUGACAACCUAGGGCCAUGGAGAAGAGAAGGGAGCCGGUGGCAGGACGUGGAUUGUACUCCCUCCUCUGUCGCUAAUGAGUGCUGGGACCUUGGGCAAGUAAUCGCUCAGGGUCGGGGUCCUCACUACAAAUUAAGGGAGUUGAAACAAUCUCCUAAAGUUCCUUAGAGGCUUAAUCUUCAGAAUCUAAUUACCACCCCCAGUAGAUCUGUUGUAUCACCAAGCAAUAAAGGGAACGAUGUAGACA
rnacentral:lncRNA from 1 species